rnacentral:tRNA from 1 species
GGAGUAUAGCUCAAUGGUAGAGCACCUUGCAAGAAUGUUUGUGGCCCUGGGUUCAAUCCCCAGUAUCA